rnacentral:tRNA from 1 species
GCUAAAUUGGCAGAUUUUAUGCAUUAAAUUUAGAAUUUAAUAAAAUGAUUUUUAUCAUAUUUAGUA